CAGGCUGAAGACCUUACCCGAUUAGCUGAGAGGUGGUGCAUGGCCGUCGUCAGUUCGUACUGUGAAGCAUCCUGUUAAGUCAGGCAACGAGCGAGACCCACGUCCACAGUUGCCAGCAUACCCGUCCGGGGUGAUGGGUACACUGUGGAGACCGCCGCUGCUAAAGCGGAGGAAGGAGUGGGCAACGGUAGGUCAGUAUGCCCCGAAUCUCCCGGGCUACACGCGGGCUACAAUGGUUGGUACAAUGGGCAUCUACCCCGAAAGGGGAAGGAAAUCUCUUAAAGCCAAUCGUAGUUCGGAUUGAGGGCUGCAACUCGCCCUCAUGAAGCUGGAAUCCGUAGUAAUCGCGUUUCAACAGAACGCGGUGAAUACGUCCCUGCUCCUU
rnacentral:rRNA from 1 species